rnacentral:rRNA from 1 species
CCUACGGUGGGCAGCAGUGAGGAAUAUUGGUCAAUGGGCGCGAGCCUGAACCAGCCAAGUCGCGUGAGGGAGGACGGUCCUACGGGUUGUAAACCUCUUUUGCCGGGGAGCAACGGGCGCCACUUGUGGCCUCACUGAGAGUACCCGGAGAAAAAGCUUCGGCUAACUCCGUGCCAGCACCUGCGGUAAUACGGAGGAUGCGAGCGUUAUCCGGAUUUAUUGGGUUUAACGGGUGCGUAGGCGGAUCGUUAAGUCAGUGGUCAAAUUGAGGGGCUCAACCCCUUCCAGCCAUUGAAACUGGCGUUCUUGAGUGGAAGAGAAGUAUGCGGAAUGCGUGGUGUAGCGGUGAAAUGCAUAGAUAGCACGCAGAACCCCGAUUGCGAAGGCAGCAUGCCGGCUUCCGACUGACGCUGAAGCACGAAAGCGUGGGGAUCGAACAGGAUUAGAUACCCUAGUAGUC